GACGAACGCUGGCGGCGUGCUUAACACAUGCAAGUCGAGCGAUGAAGCCUAGCUUGCUAGGUGGAUUAGUGGCGAACGGGUGAGUAAUACGUGAGUAACCUACCUUUAACUCUGGGAUAAGCCUGGGAAACUGGGUCUAAUACCGGAUACGACCAAUCUCCGCAUGGGGUGUUGGUGGAAAGCGUUAUGUAGUGGUUAUAGAUGGGCUCACGGCCUAUCAGCUUGUUGGUGAGGUAACGGCUCACCAAGGCGACGACGGGUAGCCGGCCUGAGAGGGUGACCGGCCACACUGGGACUGAGACACGGCCCAGACUCCUACGGGAGGCAGCAGUGGGGAAUAUUGCACAAUGGGCGCAAGCCUGAUGCAGCGACGCCGCGUGAGGGAUGACGGCCUUCGGGUUGUAAACCUCUGUUAGCAGGGAAGAAGAGAGAUUGACGGUACCUGCAGAGAAAGCGCCGGCUAACUACGUGCCAGCAGCCGCGGUAAUACGUAGGGCGCGAGCGUUGUCCGGAAUUAUUGGGCGUAAAGAGCUUGUAGGCGGUUUGUCGCGUCUGCUGUGAAGGCCGGAGCUUAACUUCGUGUAUUGCAGUGGGUACGGGCAGACUAGAGUGCAGUAGGGGAGACUGGAAUUCCUGGUGUAGCGGUGGAAUGCGCAGAUAUCAGGAGGAACACCGAUGGCGAAGGCAGGUCUCUGGGCUGUAACUGACGCUGAGAAGCGAAAGCAUGGGGAGCGAACAGGAUUAGAUACCCUGGUAGUCCAUGCCGUAAACGUUGGGCACUAGGUGUGGGGAACAUUCCACGUUUUCCGCGCCGUAGCUAACGCAUUAAGUGCCCCGCCUGGGGAGUACGGCCGCAAGGCUAAAACUCAAAGAAAUUGACGGGGGCCCGCACAAGCGGCGGAGCAUGCGGAUUAAUUCGAUGCAACGCGAAGAACCUUACCAAGGCUUGACAUAUACUGGACCGCAUCAGAGAUGGUGUUUCCCUUCGGGGCUGGUAUACAGGUGGUGCAUGGUUGUCGUCAGCUCGUGUCGUGAGAUGUUGGGUUAAGUCCCGCAACGAGCGCAACCCUCGUUCUAUGUUGCCAGCACGUUAUGGUGGGGACUCAUAGGAGACUGCCGGGGUCAACUCGGAGGAAGGUGGGGAUGACGUCAAAUCAUCAUGCCCCUUAUGUCUUGGGCUUCACGCAUGCUACAAUGGCCGGUACAGAGGGUUGCGAUACUGUGAGGUGGAGCUAAUCCCUAAAAGCCGGUCUCAGUUCGGAUUGGGGUCUGCAACUCGACCCCAUGAAGUCGGAGUCGCUAGUAAUCGCAGAUCAGCAACGCUGCGGUGAAUACGUUCCCGGGCCU
rnacentral:rRNA from 1 species